rnacentral:tRNA from 1 species
GCUCGAGUGGCGGAAAUGGCCAGACGCACCAGGCUCAGACCCUGGCGCUCCUUGGUGGGCGUGUGAGUUCGACUCUCUCCUCGAGCA